ensembl:snoRNA SNORA74 Small nucleolar RNA SNORA74
UCCAGCAGUAGUCAGCCGUCUGGACAGAACCAUUCCUGUGAUGGUGUUACACUGCUGGAAGAGGAAUGUCCUGUCUUCUUCCAGUUGUCUCUGUCACUGUUCUGGUGGCGUCUGACACUGGUGCAAGGCAGAACUGUGCUUCCUUGAGAGUAUGCUAAGCAUUCACUUUGGCUGCUUAGUUCUAGUCUAGAAGCGGACACA